GUAAGGAAGACAAGAACAAGUAGACAGUGUUGCACCUGUAGGCAUUCAAAAGCUUGUUAAUAAGAAUGUUGACACAUGAGGGUCAGUUAAUAUUUUCUUGAUCUUCAGCGCAGUAUUUGUCGUAUCUCACAAACCACAUACAAAAAAGAAACAUGAAACAGAAGAUGCUCGUGUUAUUUAUUACAUAUCUGUGGACUGGAAUUUCCGGUGGACAAGGUGCAGAUCACAACUGUGUGUUGGAAUACAAAAAGGGCUGUGUGAGUAAGGUGAUCAGCAAAUUUGAAGAGAAAAUCAUCAAACAGGAAAAGGAAUUCACUGUGUAUUAUAAAAUUCCGCAGAAAGAAGAGGCUAUUGCAGAAUGUGACUGGGCACAAUCGGGCAUUUGAGUGUCUCUCAUCAAAAAGCUUUACCUGUGAUAAAAACCUGACCAAGAAUUUUUCCAUUUUGGUUGACUACGAAACAAGGUGCCUUCAGCUUGGAGAGUUUAACUUUGAUGUUAAAAAUGCAGACGUCAUCCGUUGUGAAGUUUCACCAUAUGUCACACAAGAUGGUAACUUCAAUGAUGGCCCGACCGACCUUAAAGGCAA